rnacentral:rRNA from 1 species
GACGAACGCUGGCGGCGUGCUUAACACAUGCAAGUCGAGCGGAGCGGCGUACGGGUGAGUAACGAGUGAGUAACUGCCCACCUCUCUGGGAUAACAGUUGGAACCGGCUGCUAAUACCGGAUAGUGGGGGAUGACUCGAGACCUAUCAGCUUGUUGGUGGGGUAGUGGCCUACCAAGGCGACGAAGGGUAGCCGGCCUGAGAGGGCGACCGGACACAUUGGGCUGGGAUACGGCCCAAACUCGUACGGGUGGCAGCAGGGGGGAAUAUUGCACAAUGGGUGAAACCCUGAUGCAGCAACGCGCGUGCGGGAUGACUGCCUUCGGGUUGUAAACCGCUUUCAGCCAUGACGCGUUAGUGGCAGAAGAAGCACCGGCUAACUACGUGCCAGCAGCCGCGGUAAUAC